AAAAAAAAAAAAAAAAAACACCGUCACUUAAAAUCGAAGAGGGGUAAUGAAUUGCAGGAAGGAGAAGUGAAAAGGAUUUAGCGCCGUCGGUUUAGGGAAAUUUGGGAAAGAAAAUGGCAAUUGGUUUUACAAAUAUCAAGGCAGUGAUUAUUGACAGAAAAUUUUUGUGUCUGGUUUUCGAGUCUUUUGACAAUAAGAAAAAGGAAAAUGACAAAGCGAAGGGACAGCAACGACCUUCUUGUUUGGCAACGCAGAAUGGGAACUCCCCCACCUAUGCUGAUGAGUGCCCACUCAGACUCACUCGCUGCCCAUU
rnacentral:misc_RNA from 1 species